rnacentral:rRNA from 1 species
AAAACAUGUCUUUUUGAUUAUAAUUUAAAGUCUGGCCUGCUCAAUGAUUGUUAAAUUGCCGCAGUAUUUUAACUGUGCAAAGGUAGCAUAAUAAUUAGUUUUUUAAUUUGAAGCUGGAAUGAAUGGUUGGACGAGAUAAUUUCUGUCUCUUUAUAAUUUUUUAUUGAAUUUAAUUUUUAAGUUAAAAAGCUUAAAUUUUAAUAAAAGACGAGAAGACCCUAUAGAGUUUUAUUUUUUUUAUUUUUUGGUAUAAUGUUUAUAAAAAAAUUUUGUUGGGGUGAUGGAAAGAUUUAAUAAACUCUUUUAAAUUUAAUCAUUUAUUUUUGAAUUAUUAGUCUUUUUUAUUAAUUUUAAAUUAAAUUACCUUAGGGAUAACAGCGUUAUUUUUAUUUGGAGUUCUAAUUUAAAUAAAAGAUUGCGACCUCGAUGUUGGAUUAAAAUUUAUUUUUGGUGUAGAAGCUUAAAAAUUAAGUCUGUUCGACUUUUAAAAUUUUACAUGAUCU